rnacentral:rRNA from 1 species
CCUACGGGUGGCAGCAGUGAGGAAUAUUGGUCAAUGGGCGCGAGCCUGAACCAGCCAAGUCGCGUGAGGGAAGACGGUCCUAUGGAUUGUAAACCUCUUUUGUCGGGGAGCAAAAGACGCCACGCGUGGCGUUCCGAGAGUACCCGAAAAAAAAGCAUCGGCUAACUCCUUGCCAGCAGCCGAGGUAAUAAGGAGGAUGCGAAAGUUAUCCGGAUUUUUUGGGUUUAAAGGGUGCGCAGGAGGAAGACCAAGUCAGCGGUAAAACGGAGGGGCUCAACCUCUUCGAGCCGUUGAACCUGGUUUUCUUGAUUGAGUGAGAAGUAUGCGGAAUGCGUGGUGUAGCGGUGAA